GAUGAACGCUGGCGGCGUGCCUAAUACAUGCAAGUCGAACGAACGGACGAGAAGCUUGCUUCUCUGAUGUUAGCGGCGGACGGGUGAGUAACACGUGGAUAACCUACCUAUCUGACUGGGAUCACUUCGGGAAACCGGAGCUAAUACCGUAUAAUCUUUUGCUCCGCAUGGUUCGAAAGUAAAAGACGGUCUUUCUGUCACUUAUAGCUGGUUCCGCGCUGGAUUAGCUAGUUGGUAAGGAAACGGCUUUCCAAGGCAACGAUGCAUAGCCGACCGGCGAGGGGGAUCGGCCACACUGGAACUGAGACACGGUCCAGAGUCCUACGGGAGGCAGCAGUAGGGAAUCGGCCGCAAUGGGCGAAAGUCUGACGGAGCAACGCCGCGUGAGUGAUGAAGGUCUUCGGAUCGGAAAACUCUGUUAUGAGGGAAGAACAGAUGUGUAAGGAAAUGUGCACAUCUUGACGGUACUUAAUCAGAAAGCAACGGCUAACUACGUG
rnacentral:rRNA from 1 species